UACAGAGGUGGCAAGCGUUGUUCGGAAUUACUGGGCGUAAAGGGCGCGUAGGUGGCCUUCUUAGUCAGACGUGAAAUCCCCGGGCUUAACUCGGGAACUGCGUCUGAUACUGGAAGGCUUGAGUUCGGGAGAGGAAUGUGGAAUUCCAGGUGUAGCGGUGAAAUGCGUAGAUAUCUGGAGGAACACCGGUGGCGAAGGCGGCAUUCUGGACCGAAACUGACACUGAUGCGCGAAAGCCAGGGGAGCAAACGGGAUUAGAUACCCCGGUAGUCCUGGCCCUAAACGAUGAGUGCUUGGUGUGGCGGGUAUCGAUCCCUGCCGUGCCGAAGCUAACGCAUUAAGCACUCCGCCUGGGGAGUACGGUCGCAAGGCUGAA
rnacentral:rRNA from 1 species